rnacentral:rRNA from 1 species
GGACUCGCGGCCUAUCAGCUUGUUGGUGGGGUAAUGGCCUACCAAGGCGACGACGGGUAGCCGGCCUGAGAGGGUGACCGGCCACACUGGGACUGAGACACGGCCCAGACUCCUACGGGAGGCAGCAGGGGGGAAUAUUGCACAAUGGGCGAAAGCCUGAUGCAGCGACGCCGCGUGAGGGAUGACGGCCUUCGGGUUGUAAACCUCUUUCAGCUCUGACGAAGCUUUUGUGACGGUAGGAGCAGAAGAAGCACCGGCUAACUACGUGCCAGCAGCCGCGGUAAUACGUAGGGUGCGAGCGUUGUCCGGAAUUAUUGGGCGUAAAGAGCUUGUAGGCGGUUUGUCGCGUCUGCUGUGAAAUCCCGGGGCUUAACUCCGGGCUUGCAGUGGGUACGGGCAGGCUAGAGUGUGGUAGGGGAGACUGGAAUUCCUGGUGUAGCGGUGAAAUGCGCAGAUAUCAGGAGGAACACCGA